CGCGGGGUGGAGAAGUAGUAUCUCGGGAGGCUCAUAACCUCCAGACCCAGGUGCAAUUCCUGGCCCCGCAA
rnacentral:tRNA from 1 species